rnacentral:misc_RNA from 1 species
AAGUCGUAACAAGGUUUCCGUAGUGAACCUGCGGAAGGAUCAUUCGAUUCCAUACGAGAAGGUGAGUUUCAGUCGCUGCUUCGGCGAGCUACGAACCUAGUGCAGCCUUUCGGCUGCCUAGCUCCGGAGUAGACGGCACGACCAUCCGUUUGUAAAGAGGAUUGUCACGGGUGGAUUAACGUGCGACAUUCCCAGAAGGGGUGCGUCAGCUGACUGGUCUGAUUGUUGUCUCGGCUUGUUACCUUCGGUCCUCGGGGGGGUUCGUCACGUGAGUGCGAACACUUUAAGGUAACCAUACGUAAAUCAGACAUUUCUCAGGAUUCCGGUAAAACGGAAGCCGAAAACGUAACCCGAACAACUGUUAGCAAUGGAUAUCUUGGUUCUC